rnacentral:rRNA from 1 species
UACGUAGGGUGCGAGCGUUAAUCGGAAUUACUGGGCGUAAAGCGUGCGCAGGCGGUUUUGUAAGCCAGAUGUGAAAUCCCCGGGCUUAACCUGGGAAUGGCAUUGGGGACUGCAAGGCUGGAGUGUGGCAGAGGAGACUGGAAUUCCUGGUGUAGCAGUGAAAUGCGUAGAUAUCAGGAGGAAUACCGAUGGCGAAGGCAGGUCUCUGGGCUGACACUGACGCUCAUGCACGAAAGCGUGGGGAG